ensembl:lncRNA
UGAUCAAUUCUGAUGUUCCUGGCUCUUUCCAAGCAUGAGAUGCUUCAAGACAGUUUCUAUAAUCCUGUGAUAAAGAGAGCCCUCUAUACUGAGAGAGAGAGCACUGGGAACUGAGAGUGGAUCACAGCAUAGCAUCUCCACUCUUUUUGUUGCUGUUUGCUUGCAUUUUGUUUUCUUUCUUAUUUUUAUUUCCUUUUGUGUCUGAUUUUUCUUAUGCAGCAUGAUAAUUAUAUAAAUAUGUAUACAUACACUGAAUUUAACAUAUUUUAGCAUGAUUAACAUAUAUUGACUCACUUGUCAUCUACAGGAGGGAGGGGGACAACGGGAGCAAAAUCUGGAACACAAGGUUUUGUAAAGGUUAAUGUUGAAAAAUUACAAAUUUCUAUGUUUUGAAAAUAAAAAACUUAAGUAAAAAAGAAGGAAAAUAAAAAAAAGGAUAGGGACUUGGCAUUCCCAAACCUAAAAGUAUAAUAUAAGCAGCAGUUCUCCAAACCAUUUACUCUUAACUAACAGAGUGGUUGAUCAGAGGAAUAGAUUCCAGUGAUCAAGGCCUAUAUCUAGAAAAUAUUUGACAAAGCCGCAAACUCCAGCUUCUGGUAUAAAAACUCACUCUUUGAUAAUAAAUCUCAGGGAAAAGUGGAAAAUCCUAUCUCAAAAACUGGGCUUCGACCCAUGGGGUGUGCAUCUCAAAGCUCAUGCCAAAAUAUGGUCUAAAUGGAAGAGAUCUCCACUGAAACCAGAAGUGGUUCCAGAGCCCUGCCCUGGGGCCUCUGAGAAAAGUCUAUCUGGCAGGGGAGGCAGGCUUCCUAGGAGCAAGUGUUCCAAGAGAGAGCUGCGGGGGAGGGGUGGUCCCCAACACCAUCAGGCUUUCCUUGGGUACAUAUUGGCCAGGCUGACAAACCGGCCUAAUGAUUGCUGCCAGCUUGUGUCCAGGGAGAUCGCAGGUUGGACACAGGGAGUGGAGGCUAUUCUUUCCCGAGGGAGCAGUUUGAUGCACAUCAAAGAGAACUGGAUGCUGGCUUGCCUGUGGGAGUGGAACUUGGCCAGAGGGAGUUGAAAGCCCCCAGAGGGGGGAAAGAUGAUGUGCCCUCUCCUUAUUUAGCAUGGGGCUGUCCCUGGGAACUCUGAGAAGGUGUCUAAGAGUCGGGGAGCUUGGAGAGCAGGGCUGUCGUGCCUAAGGACGACUCUCUGUGUGGGGCCACGGCUUGCAGUCAAUCUCGAAUUUCCCCUGCACACUUCCUGGUGAAGUCCUGGCUGUCAGGAUUGCCCUUUCUUUGCAGUUCUGUCAUCCCAGUGAGCAUGGGAGCCCCUGGAAUCAGUAUAGAAGUUCCCUCUCAAUCUUUUCCCCAUUUUAAAGCUUUAUGGAGGACAAUGAGCUUGGCCUUCUGAGCAGAGAUUUCCCAGGGAAGCGGUUUAGCCUCCAAAGUACUUCUGAGAGUCACCAUGGAGUCUCGUAGCUUUCUGUGCCCAUCUUCCCCCAAACUAGACCCAUCAGUGAACCAUUCGCCAUCUAGGUUGGGGAGAGAAGCAUCUCACCUAGAGCAGACUGAAUGGAAAGUUUCCUCACUACGAUGAAUAAUAGCACUGGACUGUGUAGGGUCAGGAAACAGCGGGCCGGGGGGACAAUGGGGACACAGGCAGAAAACUAAAUUGGGAGAAUCUACUAGGAGGCCCUGAUAGUUGAUUAGCCUUUGCUAGCCAGCAACAGAAAUGGCCUGGAGCUUCUAGAAUGCUCUGAAGCCCUUGGGCAGUUUUCCAAAUAGUUCAUAACUGUUGCUCAGUAACUGUUCAAAACUGU